GGCGAGUUAGCUCAGCUGGUUAGAGCGCAUGAUUCAUAAUCAUGAGGUCCCCGGUUCAAGUCCGGGACUCGCUACCA
rnacentral:tRNA from 1 species